AAGACGGUCACGGCGUCGGAUCUGGCCGGCCUGGGCGGCCUCGGUUUCAGCGCGGUCCUCGGGCGGCUCGAGCCCGGCGCCGCCAGGGCGCCGUGGG
rnacentral:pre_miRNA from 1 species